GCUUAUACUGCACUGCGCCACAACCCAAGGAGCAAACAGUACUUGCGCACUGGCACAGGAACCAGAAAGGAAGCGGCUGUGUUCGGCGGUGUUUAUUCCGGAGGUCUGGACGGCACCAACAGGACCCAGAGGGGAAUAUCCGGAUUGUCAAAAUUAAGAAGGGAAAUCCUACAGAGAGGAGAAGUUGCCUACCGUGGGUCUCUUAGCUUAAACUUGGGUAUCUACACUCAGUUUUCUACUUGACUCAAGACGUCCACCGACUUGCAACCGCCCGCCUUAAGUUCCUUAGAUGUAGGGACCCUUGGUAACAACUCAAGUCUCAGCGCCAGAGCAGGCAUUCAUUAACUCACUAUUUAAGUCAUUUCUUUAUUCAACAAACACUUAAUUCCAAGUUUGCAAUAGGCUCUGCACUAGGAACAAGGCACCCAGAUAUGGUCUUUACCUUGAAGUCACUGCUAUAGUUUUAUGGAAUAAAUGAACCUUAGUUUUCAUGAAAGAGAAUAAUAAAAGGUAGCUGUGAAGGUGUAAGGAGGCAGUGGAGACUGCCAAGGUUCACAAACUUGUAGUAAGCACAGAUACAGGCCUUCUGGAGGGAAUGGGCUUGAGCAGCACUCUGAAGGGAAAUUAAGGCCCAAAUUUGGGGGUAGAGUGAUUUGUGGUAGAAAAGUUGGGAGGAAAGUCGAACGACUCAUGGAGGUGCUUAAAGGACCAAGGCAGCGCACUGCCUUCCUGAAAGUGAGAGAUGGUAAGAAGACAGGUUAGUAGGAGACAAAGAUAUUUCCAGAAUGAAGUUUUGCCUUUUG